UCCAGGGUAGCCUAGUGGACAUGGCAUCUGCCCAGUAAGCGGAACACUGUGGGUUUGAUUCCCAUCCCUGAAU